UACAGAGGUGGCAAGCGUUGUUCGGAAUUACUGGGCGUAAAGGGCGCGUAGGCGGUUUUGUAAGUCAGACGUGAAAUCCCCAGGCUUAACUUGGGAACUGCGUCUGAUACUGCAAAACUUGAGUGCGGGAGAGGGAUGUGGAAUUCCCAGUGUAGCGGUGAAAUGCGUAGAUAUUGGGAGGAACACCAGUGGCGAAGGCGGCUCACUGGACCGGAACUGACGCUGAGGCGCGAAAGCGUGGGGAGCAAACAGG
rnacentral:rRNA from 1 species